GACGUAGGGUGCAGGCGUUACUCGGAAUUACUGGGCGUAAAGCGUGCGUAGGCGGUUUGGUAAGACAGGUGUGAAAUCCCCGGGCUUAACCUGGGAACUGCGCUUGUAACUGGCAAGCUGGAGUGUGGCAGAGGGGGGUGGAAUUCCACGUGUAGCAGUGAAAUGCGUAGAGAUGUGGAGGAACACCGAUGGCGAAGGCAGCCCCCUGGGCUAACACUGACGCUCAUGCACGAAAGCGUGGGGAGCAAACAGG
rnacentral:rRNA from 1 species